rnacentral:rRNA from 1 species
UACGGGGGGGGCAAGCGUUGUUCGGAAUUACUGGGCGUAAAGGGCUCGUAGGCGGCCCACUAAGUCAGACGUGAAAUCCCUCGGCUUAACCGGGGAACUGCGUCUGAUACUGGAGGGCUUGAGUUUGGGAGAGGGAUGCGGAAUUCCAGGUGUAGCGGUGAAAUGCGCAGAUAUCAGGAGGAACACCGGUGGCGAAGGCGGGUCUCUGGGCCGAUACUGACGCUGAGGAGCGAAAGCGUGGGGAGCGAACAGG